AUGGUGCUGCGAAAGUUACCCGGUGUCUCCGCAUCGGGCAUGGGGCUUCGUCUUUCUCAGAAAUUCGUCUUUCUGCUGUUCCUCUCGGGCUUGGUCACUCUGUGCUUCGGGGCGCUUUUCUUCUUACCCGACAGCGUGCGUCUGAAGCGCAUUUUCCUCUCCAAAAAUGAGAGUCCCGCGGUGACUGUGGGCUCCGAGAAUGAGCUUUCCAAAAAGGUGCCCGGGGAUCCAGAGCACCAGCGGGCGGGAUUAAAAGGUGCUGAGGCCAAUCUCAAACUGAAAGUGAGCCGCACGCCGUCGGUCACCCAUGGAGCGAGAACCGUGGAGAGAUCGGUUGGGAGCCGGGCGCAGGACGAGUGGAGCCCGGCGAGGGCGCAUGAACCAGCGGCCAGGGACGAGCGGGUCACCGCGGCGGCUCAUAACCAGGAACACAGCAGCUCUUUCAACUAUGAGGCGUUUAAAAAGUGCCUCCUGAAACCACCUAUCGGAAAGGACCAGGGGACUCCAUCUGACUCCGGGACGCUUCAGAGGAGGGAGAAAGUCAAAGAGAAAUGACGGAAUCCGCUCAUCAUCACACAGACGCAGAUCAACAGCAUCAAAACUCCAGAAAUCCCAUCAUGCAUUUGAUCAGUAAAAGCAUCAAAGACGAGCGUCGCUGCAGCUUUGAUCCCAGAAUCCUCUGCAUGAAAGACACACCAAAUAAAAUCCCAAUUAACACGAUGAUGUGAGAACUACAUCCCUCAGCUCAUGCCAACAGUGAAGUUUGGGCUGUAAACUUAUAUCAGUUUUUUUUCUAGGUCACAUUCUGUUAUGCUAUUCCCCGAUUAAUAUGCAAAUUAAAGUUGUCUGAGAAACUGAAUGAAUGAAUGAAUGAACAAAUUAAAAAAAUAAAUAGCCAACCAUUCAUUCAUUUUUCUUACCUUAUUUAUCAGGGGUCACCCCAGCGGAAUGAACCGCCAAUUGUUCUAGCAUUUGCUUUAUGCAGCGGAUGCCCUUCAAGCAGCAACAAAGUACUGGGAAACACCAAUUAGGUAUAUGCCUAGCUAGUGCUGUUCCCAUGCUGAUACACUUCCGGUGACCUGUUUUUGUGAACUUUUUUCCAUUUUAUACGGUUCCUUAUACAGCAUCGAUGUUGUAAUGUCAUUAAAAUACAUUCAGUUAAAUAAACUUUAGUAUUUAUUUAGUUGCUCAAGCGUAAAACGAGACAAAAAGCUGUUUACUCGCACGCACCCAUCAGAAUCGGCAGGCUAACGCAGAAGCUCCAUUAAAUAUACUGGGGUAAAAUAAAUGCUCAUAUUAUAAAGACAUGGCGGGGGGAAAUGUAAUGUAAUGCAGUGCAUCUUGUACAAUCUGAGAUCCACUUUAAAUCGGAUAUCACUCAGCUAGUGGAGAUCGCUGAUUUUUAAAGAAAACAAACCUUAACCGCACCGGAUUUUGCAUUGGCAUUCAAUUCGACGGAAGCGCUUAACCCAGGUUACCUGCAUAUUAAGAGUCCUACUAGCAUGCUUCGGCAUAUACCCCAUACACUCACACAUUCACACACACUCAUACACUACGACCAAUUUAGUUCACUUAUACAGCAUGUGUUUAGACUGUGCGGGAAACUGGAGCACCCGGAGAAAACCCACACCAACACGGGGAGAACACAUUGCAAAUUCCACAUAGAAAUGCCUGCUGGCCCAGCCGGGACUCAAACCAGAGACCUUCUUCUUGCAGUAAGGUGACUAACCACAGAGCCGCGUGCCGCCUCUAAAUAGCCAGUCAACUAAAUAAAUAAAACAAAUACAUUAAAUAACUCAACAAUUAAUGUUUAAUUAAUUAACGUUUUGACAAAAAAUAAAUAAAUAAAACAUAAUAUAAAUAAAAAAACUAAUUAAAUAUUAGGCAAAAUUGAAUUGAAUUUAAUCUAAUUAGCAAUUUAUCAUGCAAUCGAUUCGGUUCAAUUCGACGUCUCGGUGCGUUGACGAUACUUUCCAUACAUAAUUGGAUUUUUUCUUCACAACACAAUCACUUUUUUAUUAAAAUCUAAAAUAAAUAAAUAAAUAAAUAUAUAUAUAUAUAUAUAUAUA
rnacentral:lncRNA from 1 species